UGGGGAAUUUUGGACAAUGGGGGAAACCCUGAUCCAGCCAUCCCGCGUGUGCGAUGAAGGCCUUCGGGUUGUAAAGCACUUUUGGCAGGAAAGAAAUGUCAUGGGUUAAUACCCCGUGAAACUGACGGUACCUGCAGAAUAAGCACCGGCUAACUACGUGCCAGCAGCCGCGGUAAUACGUAGGGUGCAAGCGUUAAUCGGAAUUACUGGGCGUAAAGCGUGCGCAGGCGGUUCGGAAAGAAAGAUGUGAAAUCCCAGAGCUCAACUUUGGAACUGCAUUUUUAACUACCGGGCUAGAGUGUGUCAGAGGGAGGUGGAAUUCCGAGUGUAGCAGUGAAAUGCGUAGAUAUGCGGAGGAACACCGAUGGCGAAGGCAGCCUCCUGGGAUAACACUGACGCUCAUGCACGAAAGCGUGGGGAGCAAACAGG
rnacentral:rRNA from 1 species